UCAGUCAGCGCCGGCGCUGCCGUCAACGCUUCGAACGGACUCUACAUGAGCCCUGGAAGUCCAUCGGGAUCUGACAUAAGUGAUUCAAGUGUUCCUGUUGUAUCUCCAACCGUCUACCGCCCUGUUGCCAGAACAGGCGGCGUUAUACCUCCAGGAGAAUCAGCGCCGUCUUCCGCCACCGACCCGCCGACGUCGCUGUCUUUAUCUCUCCCUGGAGUCGACAGCUCGAGACACAGCGGAAGUGGGUCAACGGCGCAGGUACCUCUAAUGGCGGCAUUUGCUCAAAUACAGAGCAUGACGACAACAGAGCAGGUUAGAACGGCGCAGCCCAGUGGUGGGGCGGGUGAGAAAAUAAAUGGGUUUGGAGUUUUCAGCGCAGAUUUAAUGGCGGUGAUGCAAGAGAUGAUAAAAUCAGAAGUGAAAAGCUAUAUGGAAGGGUUAUCGGAGCAGAGAGGAAGAAGAUGUUUUCAAGAAGCUAAAGCUGG
rnacentral:lncRNA from 1 species